UACAGAGGGUGCGAGCGUUAAUCGGAAUUACUGGGCGUAAAGCGUGCGUAGACGGUAGCGUAAGUCAGAUGUGAAAGCCCCGGGCUCAACCUGGGAAUGGCAUUUGAUACUCUGAGGCUGGAGUACGGGAGAGGAGAGUGGAAUUCCCAGUGUAGAGGUGAAAUUCGUAGAUAUUGGGAAGAACACCGGUGGCGAAGGCGGCUCUCUGGACCGUAACUGACGCUGAGGCGCGAAAGCGUGGGGAGCAAACAGG
rnacentral:rRNA from 1 species